UACGUAGGGUGCGAGCGUUAAUCGGAAUUAUUGGGCGUAAAGGGUAGGUAGGUGGUCUCGUUUGUCCGGGGUGAAAGCCUUGAGCUUAACUCAAGAAGUGCCUCGGAAACGGCGAGACUGGAGUACUGGAGAGGGUCGUGGAAUUCCCGGUGUAGCGGUGAAAUGCGUAGAUAUCUGGAGGAACACCGGUGGCGAAGGCGGCGUCCUGGACCAAAACUGACACUGAGGAGCGAAAGCCAGGGGAGCAAACGGG
rnacentral:rRNA from 1 species